GAGUUUGAUCCUGGCUCAGGACGAACGCUGGCGGUGCGCCUUAUGCAUGCAAGUUGAGCGAAGCUUUUUGGUAGUUUACUACUAGAAAUGACUGAGCGGCGAACGGGUGAGUAACGCGUGAGCAAUCUACCUUAGUUGCUGGGAUAGCCCGAGGAAACUCGGAUUAAUACCAGAUAUUCUUAUUUUUUUACAUGAAGUUUUAAGGAAAGGUCAGCCGAACUAAGAUGAGCUCGCGUUCUAUCAGCUAGUUGGUGGGGUAAAAGCCUACCAAGGCAACGACGGAUAGCUGGUCUGAGAGGACGAUCAGCCACACUGGGACUGAGACACGGCCCAGACUCCUACGGGAGGCUGCAGCAGGGAAUAUUGUGCAAUGAGCGAAAGCUUGACACAGCGACACCGCGUGUGGGAUGACGGUUCUAGGAUUGUAAACCACUUUCAGGAGGGAAGAAAAUGACGGUACCUCCACAAGAAGGCCCGGCCAACUAUGUGCCAGCAGCCGCGGUAAUACAUAGGGGUCAAGCGUUGUCCGGAUUUAUUGGGCGUAAAGAGCUCGUAGGCGGUUCAACAAGUCGGUCGUAAAAGUUUAGGGCUUAACCCUAAAAUGUCGAUCGAUACUGUUGUGACUAGGAUACGGUAGGGGUGAAUGGAAUUCCGAGUGUAGCGGUGAAAUGCGUAGAUAUUCGGAGGAACACCAAUUGCGAAGGCAGUUCACUGGACCGUGAUCGACGCUGAGGAGCGAAAGCUAGGGGAGCAAACAGGAUUAGAUACCCUGGUAGUCCUAGCUGUAAACGAUGGAUACUAGAUGUAGGAACUGGAUUGACGGUUUCUGUAUCGUAGCUAACGCGUUAAGUAUCCCGCCUGGGGAGUACGGUCGCAAGACUAAAACUCAAAGGAAUUGACGGGACCCCGCACAAGCGGCGGAGCAUGCGGCUUAAUUCGAUGAUACCCGUAGAACCUUACCUGGACUUGACAUAUAGGGAAAAACUGGAGAAAUCCAGUGUGCGUAAGCGCCCUUUACAGGUGGUGCAUGGCUGUCGUCAGCUCGUGUCGUGAGAUGUUGGGUUAAGUCCCGCAACGAGCGCAACCCCUGUCCUAUGUUGCCAGCAAGUAAUGUUGGGGACUCAUAGGAGACUGCCGGUGAUAAACCGGAGGAAGGUGGGGAUGACGUCAAGUCAUCAUGCCCCUUAUGUCCAGGGCUGCACGCAUGCUACAAUGGCAAGUACAACGAGUCGCAAUACCGCGAGGUGGAGCAAAUCUCUUAAAGCUUGUCUCAGUUCGGAUAGGAGUCUGCAACUCGACUCCUUGAAGUUGGAGUCGCUAGUAAUCGCAAAUCAGCAAAGUUGCGGUGAAUACGUUCUCGGGGUUUGCACUCACCGCCCGUC
rnacentral:rRNA from 1 species